rnacentral:rRNA from 1 species
AGCCCGCUCGCCGGAAGACCAAGGGUUCCUGUCCAACGUUAAUCGGGGCAGGGUGAGUCGACCCCUAAGGCGAGGCCGAAAGGCGUAGUCGAUGGGAAACAGGUUAAUAUUCCUGUACUUGGUGUUACUGCGAAGGGGGGACGGAGAAGGCUAUGUUGGCCGGGCGACGGUUGUCCCGGUUUAAGCGUGUAGGCUGGUUUUCCAGGCAAAUCCGGAAAACCAAGGCUGAGGCGUGAUGACGAGGCACUACGGUGCUGAAGCGACAAAUGCCCUGCUUCCAGGAAAAGCCUCUAAGCAUCAGGUAACAUCAAAUCGUACCCCAAACCGACACAGGUGGUCAGGUAGAGAAUACCAAGGCGCUUGAGAGAACUCGGGUGAAGGAACUAGGCAAAAUGGUGCCGUAACUUCGGGAGAAGGCACGCUGAUAUGUAGGUGAAGCGACUAGCUCGUGGAGCUGAAAUCAGUCGAAGAUACCAGCUGGCUGCAACUGUUUAUUAAAAACACAGCACUGUGCAAACACGAAAGUGGACGUAUACGGUGUGACGCCUGCCCGGUGCCGGAAGGUUAAUUGAUGGGGUUAGCGGUAACGCGAAGCUCUUGAUCGAAGCCCCGGUAAACGGCGGCCGUAACUAUAACGGUCCUAAGGUAGCGAAAUUCCUUGUCGGGUAAGUUCCGACCUGCACGAAUGGCGUAAUGAUGGCCAGGCUGUCUCCACCCGAGACUCAGUGAAAUUGAACUCGCUGUGAAGAUGCAGUGUACCCGCGGCAAGACGGAAAGACCCCGUGAACCUUUACUAUAGCUUGACACUGAACAUUGAGCCUUGAUGUGUAGGAUAGGUGGGAGGCUUUGAAGUGUGGACGCCAGUCUGCAUGGAGCCGACCUUGAAAUACCACCCUUUAAUGUUUGAUGUUCUAACGUUGGCCCGUAAUCCGGGUUGCGGACAGUGUCUGGUGGGUAGUUUGACUGGGGCGGUCUCCUCCUAAAGAGUAACGGAGGAGCACGAAGGUUGGCUAAUCCUGGUCGGACAUCAGGAGGUUAGUGCAAUGGCAUAAGCCAGCUUGACUGCGAGCGUGACGGCGCGAGCAGGUGCGAAAGCAGGUCAUAGUGAUCCGGUGGUUCUGAAUGGAAGGGCCAUCGCUCAACGGAUAAAAGGUACUCCGGGGAUAACAGGCUGAUACCGCCCAAGAGUUCAUAUCGACGGCGGUGUUUGGCACCUCGAUGUCGGCUCAUCACAUCCUGGGGCUGAAGUAGGUCCCAAGGGUAUGGCUGUUCGCCAUUUAAAGUGGUACGCGAGCUGGGUUUAGAACGUCGUGAGACAGUUCGGUCCCUAUCUGCCGUGGGCGCUGGAGAACUGAGGGGGGCUGCUCCUAGUACGAGAGGACCGGAGUGGACGCAUCACUGGUGUUCGGGUUGUCAUGCCAAUGGCACUGCCCGGUAGCUAAAUGCGGAAGAGAUAAGUGCUGAAAGCAUCUAAGCACGAAACUUGCCCCGAGAUGAGUUCUCCCUGAGACUUAGAGUCUCCUGAAGGAACGUUGAAGACGACGACGUUGAUAGGCCGGGUGUGUAAGCGCAGCGAUGCGUUGAGCUAACCGGUACUAAUGAACCGUGAGGCUUAACCUU